rnacentral:rRNA from 1 species
AUUGAACGCUGGCGGCAGGCUUAACACAUGCAAGUCGAGCGGAGAUGAGGUGCUUGCACCUUAUCUUAGCGGCGGACGGGUGAGUAAUGCUUAGGAAUCUGCCUAUUAGCGGGGGACAACAUUCCGAAAGGAAUGCUAAUACCGCAUACGUCCUACGGGAGAAAGCAGGGGAUCUUCGGACCUUGCGCUAAUAGAUGAGCCUAAGUCGGAUUAGCUAGUUGGUGGGGUAAAGGCCUACCAAGGCGACGAUCUGUAGCGGGUCUGAGAGGAUGAUCGGCCACACUGGGACUGAGACACGGCCCAGACUCCUACGGGAGGCAGCAGCGGGGAAUAUUGGACAAUGGGCGGAAGCCUGAUCCAGCCAUGCCGCGUGUGUGAAGAAGGCCUUUUGGUUGUAAAGCACUUUAAGCGAGGAGGAGGCUACCUAGAUUAAUACUCUGGGAUAGUGGACGUUACUCGCAGAAUAAGCACCGGCUAACUCUGUGCCAGCCGCCGCAGUAACAC